rnacentral:rRNA from 1 species
AGAUUGAACGCUGGCGGCAUGCCUUACACAUGCAAGUCGAACGGUAGAGUAGCAAUACUCGAGAGUGGCGAACGGGUGAGUAAUACAUCGGAACGUGCCCAAUCGUGGGGAUAACGCAGCGAAAGCUGUGCUAAUACCGCAUAAGAUCUACGGAUGAAAGCAGGGAUCGCAAGACCUUGCGCGAAUGGAGCGGCCGAUGGCAGAUUAGGUAGUUGGUAGGUAAAGGCCUACCAAGGCUACGAUCAGUAGCUGGUCUGAGAGGACGACCAGCCACACUGGAACUGAGACACGGUCCAGACUCCUACGGGAGCAGCAGUGGGAAUUUGGACAAUGGCGCAAGCCUGAUCCAGCAAUGCCGCGUGAGUGAAGAAGGCCUUCGGGCUGU